rnacentral:rRNA from 1 species
GACGAACCGUACGAACGUUAUUCGGAAUCACUGGGCUUAAAGGGUGCGUAGGCGGUCCGGUAAGUCGAGUGUGAAAUCCCUCAGCUCAACUGAGGAAUUGCGCCCGAAACUGUCGGACUUGAGGGAGACAGAGGUGAGCGGAACUUAGGGUGGAGCGGUGAAAUGCGUUGAUAUCCUAAGGAACACCAGGGGCGAAAGCGGCUCACUGGGUCUCUUCUGACGCUGAGGCACGAAAGCUAGGGGAGCGAACGGG